rnacentral:rRNA from 1 species
AGUGAACGCUGGCGGUAGGCCUAACACAUGCAAGUCGAGCGGCAGCACAGUAAGAGCUUGCUCUUACGGGUGGCGAGUGGCGGACGGGUGAGGAAUACAUCGGAAUCUACUUUUUCGUGGGGGAUAACGUAGGGAAACUUACGCUAAUACCGCAUACGACCUACGGGUGAAAGCAGGGGAUCUUCGGACCUUGUGCGAUUGAAUGAGCCGAUGUCGGAUUAGCUAGUUGGCGGGGUAAAGGCCCACCAAGGCGACGAUCCGUAGCUGGUCUGAGAGGAUGAUCAGCCACACUGGAAGUGAGACAGGGUCCAGACUCCUAAGGGAGGAAGCAGUGGGGAAUAUUGGACAAUGGGCGCAAGCAUGAUCCAGCGAUACCGCGUGGGUGACGAAGGCCUUCGGGUUGUAAAGCCCUUUUGUUGGGAAAGAAAAGCAGCAGGUUAAUACCCCGCUGUUCUGACGGUACCCAAAGAAUAAGCACCGGCUAACUUCGUG